rnacentral:rRNA from 1 species
GACGAACGCUGGCGGCGUGCUUAACACAUGCAAGUCGAACGGAAAGGCCCUGCUUUUGUGGGGUGCUCGAGUGGCGAACGGGUGAGUAACACGUGAGUAACCUGCCCUUGACUUUGGGAUAACUUCAGGAAACUGGGGCUAAUACCGGAUAGGAGCUCCUCCUCCACGGGGGGGGUGGGAAAGUUUCGGCGGUUGGGGAUGGACUCGCGGCUUGUCGGCUUGUUGUGGGGGUAGUGGCUUACCAAGGCUUUGACGGGUAGCCGGCCUGGGAGGGUGACCGGCCACAUUGGGACUGGGAUACGGCCCAGACUCCUACGGGAGGCAGAAGUGGGGAAUAUUGCACAAUGGGCGGAAGCCUGAUGCCGCAACGCCACGUGCGGGAUGACGGCCUUCGGGUUGUAAACCGCUUUCGCCUGUGACGAAGCGUGAGUGACGGUAAUGGGUAAAGAAGCACCGGCUAACUACGUG